UACGUAGGGUGCGAGCGUUGUCCGGAAUUAUUGGGCGUAAAGAGCUCGUAGGCGGUUUGUCACGUCGGAUGUGAAAACCCGAGGCUUAACCUCGGGCCUGCAUUCGAUACGGGCUGACUAGAGUUCGGUAGGGGAGACUGGAAUUCCUGGUGUAGCGGUGAAAUGCGCAGAUAUCAGGAGGAACACCGGUGGCGAAGGCGGAUCUCUGGGCCGUAACUGACGCUGAGGAGCGAAAGCAUGGGGAGCGAACAGG
rnacentral:rRNA from 1 species